AAGGGGUUAGUUUAAAAAAAACAUUAAUUUGUCAAGUUAAAAAUAUUAUAUUAAUACCCCUUA
rnacentral:tRNA from 1 species